GACGAACGCUGGCGGCGUGCCUAAUACAUGCAAGUCGAGCGAACAGACGAGGAGUUUGCUCCUCCGACGUUAGAGGCGGACGGGUGAGUAACAUGUGGUCAACCUACCUAUACGACAGGGAUAAUUAUGGGAAACCGGAGCUACUACCGGAUAAUUUAUCGAAUUUGAUGGUUCAAUAGUGAAAGACGGUAUUGCUGACACUAAUAGACGGCUCAGCGCCGCAUUCGCUGGUUGGUAAGGUAACGGCUUACCAACGCAACGACGCUUAACCGACCUGAAGGGGUGGUCGGCCAGCCGGUAACUGAGACUGAGUCCAGACACCUGCACUGAGAAGCAGUAGAGAAUCUUCCGCGAUGGAGGAGAGCUUAACAUUGCAACGCCGCGUGAAGGAUGAUGGUCUUCUGCUCGUAGAGCUCUGAUAUUAGUAAAGUACUAAUGUGUAAUUAACUAUGCUCAUCUUGACAGUACCUGGUCAAAAAGCCACGGCUAACUACGUG
rnacentral:rRNA from 1 species